rnacentral:rRNA from 1 species
UACGGAGGAUCCGAGCGUUAUCCGGAUUUAUUGGGUUUAAAGGGUGCGUAGGCGGACUGGUAAGUCAGCUGUGAAAGUUUACGGCUCAACCGUGAAAUUGCAGUUGAUACUGUUGGUCUUGAGUAUACAUGAGGUGGGCGGAAUUUGUGGUGUAGCGGUGAAAUGCUUAGAUAUUAGGAGGAAUACCAGUGGCGAAGGCGACUUGCUGGAAUCUAACUGACGCUGAGGUACGAAAGCGUGGGGAGCAAACAGG